UGCCAGCCGCCGCGGUAAUACGGAGGGGGUUAGCGUUGUUCGGAAUUACUGGGCGUAAAGCGUACGUAGGCGGAUUAAUAAGUUAGAGGUGAAAUCCAGGGCUCAACCCUGGAACUGCCUUUAAAACUGUUAGUCUUGAGAUCGAGAGAGGUGAGUGGAAUUCUCGGUGUAGCAGUGAAAUGCGUAGAUAUCGAGAGGAACAUCAAUGGCGAAGGCAACUUACUGGACAUUUACUGACGCUCAGACACGAAGGCUAGGGGAGCGAAAGGGAUUAGAUA
rnacentral:rRNA from 1 species